UUCAAACAAAAUCUCAGCUAGAAGCGCUUUAAUCAAAUUAACCCAAAUUAGAAAAGGUUUUAUUUUUAUAAAUAAGGCCCCCUCAAUAAUUGGAACACAUUGGCGUUUAACGAACCAUCAAAGACCCAAGCUUUUUUUAGCGUAGAAAAUAUGCUAAACCAAUAAUUAGAUGAGAAGGGACAGAAAAUGAAUAAGUGUAUUAGGAGCUCACUGUUUUUCAAGCAAAGGGGCCACACUAAAGGCAGUAAACACAUAUUGGGAAGCUUCCUUUACAUAGUCUCAGAACAGUUUAGAGAACCCACUGUCAUACUCCAUACCAGAAUAUUUAUUCUCCUUGGACUGCUGGUUUUCCCAAGUGCUUUAAAGUAAUCUUUUUCUAAAGGUGAAAAAUGAGAGAGGUGCUUCGAAAGGGACUUAACUGAAAAAUGGUCCAAGGAUUCUAAAGACCAAACUCUCCUAUCAUCCAAGUCCGUUAGACCUUUCUGAGACCUGAGUGUUAAAAGCCUUUGGAAAUCUUGAAUUCCUUCAUCUUGGUUCUUUUCAAGUGUCUUGGUGUUGGUUCUUCAGAAGCUUCUUUCUUCGGAUAUUAGUCCAUUCAUCAUUGAAGAGUUUUUGGUAUGCUCUGACAGCUCUUCGUUAGUCUUUUCUUUAGAAAGAUCAACACUCUUUGUUAGUCUUUUGUUAGUUGGUGGUUGCUUUCUGCAUUUCUAUCGUACCAUUGCAGUAGCUUUUGCUUUUCUACCGCUAAAGGUGAAUUGUCAGUCGUAGUUGUUUGAAAGUUUACCUCUAUUUGGUUGUAUUUGUUAUUCAUUUCUUUUUUCCCCACUUUGGGAUAGAUUGUAUCUCCUAAACAUAGUAGUCUUUUUCAUUAACUCAAUGAGAAAUUGUUUCUUAUUUCAAAAAAGACAUGGAUUGCUCUCUUGAAAAACUUUCUGGCCCUAUUGGAGCCAAAAGCAAUAUCCUCUCUGAAGCUUUCCUCCCCUCAACCUUCUUUCGCUUUCUACCCCCAUUUCCUUAGUGAAGGAAAGAAAGGAUCAGUAAUUUGUUUGAUUGAUGUUCCAAAACAAUAUUAUAGGUACUCAUUGCCCUGCCUUUUUGUAUUCUUUUUUAAGGGAAACUGUUGGAAUUCUUUCCUUUUUUCUAGGCUUUUUCCUUGUUAGAAUCCUAGAAUAAUUAUGGAAAGAUUAUGGGAAUGUUUUUCUUAUUUUCCUAAAUCUUUUCCUUUUUUAUUCCAUUGUAUACUCUAUUUAUUCUCCCUUGUACCUAUUGUUUUAUUCAUUAGAAAACAAUAACAACAAACAAUCGUGGUUUUUCUCCCAGUACUCAGGUUUCCACGUAAAUUGGUGUGAACUCGUUGUCUCUCCUUUCAAUAGAAACGAGUCUCUUUUAUUAAUGAGAAUAAUGAGACAAAAGCUCAAGUAAAAGAGAGUUGUACAAUGAGCAAAAUAACCUAGGAAUCAGUAGAUGCAUCCGGACAUCUCAACUAGGUUGACACCCCCUUAGUUUCCUCAUCAUAUCCGAACAAACUAGUAAAAACAUGAGAACUGAGGACAAACAAAUGCCCUGCCUUUUGGUAAUUAUGAACUGCAAUUUAUAUUGUUGGAUUGGAGUCUGUGACUUAUUUUUGUGGUUUUUUUUUUUUUUUUUUUGCAUAUACCCUUCUAAAUUACUUUUGUUCAAACAAUGGAAACUCAAUAUCUUACCCAAGACAAUAAGUUCCUAAACAAUCUUAUAUAGCAAUCAAACCAAACAGGUUCAAGUUUACUGCUCUUUUUCUUCGGUUUUCCUUUUUUUCAAUAAAAGAAAGGAAAUCUUUCAUCGAAAUAAUAAAAAGAGACUAAUGUUCAAAAUAAAUUGAAACAAAAUAGAACUUCUGCCUUCCAUUGAAUUUCAUCUAUAACUAUAAAUGUGCAUGCCUCUCAUAUAUAACUAGAUAGGUUUUGGUGCCAGUUAACAAACACCAUUAAUUGUGAUAGGUAUUUCUUAGGAUUUCAUAUCUAGAAGAUUACAAGAACACUUUUUUUCAAAAUCACAACUUUUCUUUCAUAAUAGCAAAUUAGAAACAUCUUUUGUAUUCCCUUUAAAUGAGACCUUGUUGAUAUACUCGGAUAUUUCGUUCCAUCAAUGAAAUUAUUUCUUAUAAAAAAACAUAUGAUGCUAUAAACUGUUUCUAAGCUCGUCAAUAAGGAAAAAUAAUUGCACAAAUACCGCAAGACUUGUUCCGUACCUUGAAAAUCCAACAUUAUUUGCAAACUCAAAGUCAUAGGCAUAUGUUGCAUAAGAAUCGCAACAGAUAAUGUGUUGGACAUUUUCAUAUUGUGGAUCUGGGAAAAAAUGACCGUACUGCAAAAUGGUUAAGAAAAUUAGUAUGCCAUAAAAAACUUGGAAGGGUUAGCAACAAAUAAACGAUAUAUAAUUCAAAUAACAUUACAAACUCACGGAACGGCCAGGCUUGAAUUCAGUAGAAGUUCUUAAUCGCAAUACACAACCAAAAGCAUAAGGCCGACUUAACAUCCGAUACCUGCAACAGAAUUCUAUCAUAAAACUAUAUCCUGUCUAAUAGCAAUUUAAGAAUGCAGGUUUAGUAUGAGUUUAAAAUUUUCAUAUCUGUAUUAACAUAUACUUAUUCUAUCUAAUGAAGGAAAACUCUUAUGCACUGAGUACUUUACAUGGGAAAUCAUGAGUAUGUGUCAAGUGUCAUUACUCAUUAGUUCACAAGUGCAAUGUCAAUCCUAAACUGCUGUAUAACUAAAAACACAUACGCUACAGAGUGCUGGAUGUUUUAUUUCUUUUCAAUUUAAGAUAAGAAGAAUAAUACAAAUUGCUAGAUACUUACAUAUCCUGAGGAAGAGUUGAGUCAUCGGUACUUGGAUAGAAGCAUAGUGACCCACCACUUUCAAUGCUAAGAAAUUUUAGGGAUGCCAAGUCAGUGUAUUCAUUUGUAACAGCAAAUAUGUCUACACAAACUCCUGCUUGGACAGCAACUGCAGCCUGUAGAUGUAAAUGAAAACUUACAACCUUUUAAAGCAUCUAAACAGAAUAGAGCAACUUUUAAUUAGCCAUAUUACCAACUCCUUAUAAAAUGGGGUCUGCUCAGGAAGUAAUGCACGGUCCGCAUCCUCUCCUUUACUAGCAUAUUGCUCUCCAUAUCGCCUUGUGUCAAGUUGCCCAGCUCCAUAAUCAGGAGGACCAGAUAGGAAAGCAAAAAUUCUAGCUGAAGUAAAGAAGACAAUACCAUACAUCAUAAUUAAUGCCCUUUGAUUGAAAAAGAAAUGUGCAGUGCUCAAUGCCUGUAUUUUGAAAGCAUUGAAACUAUUAGAUGAGCUUUCCGCUGUAAUACUUGCCUAAUGCAAAUAUAUUCCCAUAUUCUGAUCCGAGGUAAUUAAGGAGUGCUUCCAUAGCCACACCAAAACCUCUUCCACCCAUCAAUAUACCAUCUAUUCCUUGACCUGCUGCUGUAGUUCUCUCCCAUGAUGUCGUUGGUCGAAGAGUUUCAAGAGCAGCCUCAAUGCGAUCCUUACAGGUUUCCACCUACAAUCAAAUUGUUAAAUUGAAGACCCAUCCAAUUGUAAAGCAUGACAGAGUGAAAAUUCAAGGAUUCUGUGCUUGAUAAUUGAUAAAAAAUAAUCAAUUAAAUGAAGUACAAAGGCAAAAUGCAUCAACAUCCUUCACAUACCGGUGCCAAAAACUGCAACAAAGGCAUUACAUCUUCAAGUUCAAUUGGCAGGGCCCCCUCCGUAUCAGGGGGAAUGAAGACAUUCUUCACAACGGGUAUAGGACCUUGAACAUCAUAUAGACCUAGUUUGUGGCUGAAGGUAGCAAGACCAAAAAGUGAACCAGGCCCAAGAGCUACAAGGAAUAUUGAAAUACCACAAAACAAAAUGUCUUUAAGAAGAAUUACAGAUAUAAAAGAAAAUAAGGUUUUAAUCCAACACUUGAAAACCUUCUAAAGCUGCCAGUAAUGCACUUUUCGUGAGCUCCAAAAAUUCUUCUGAAGCUGCAGUUGAAAACCAAAUAAAACAAAAUGAUAAAUAGGAAAAGCAUCUCCUAGGGAAGCAAAGGAUGAAAUAAAUGAAUUAAUUAAUACACAUUUCAAAAUGCAUUUACUGUUCAAUAGUUUGUUCAUAUUUUGCAUCCUAUUUAAUCAGAUUCAUUAUAUGAGAAUAAAAACUUUUAAUCUUCACUUCAAAAAUAACUUGGGGGGAAAUUUUCGAUAGAAUAGACCCAAUUCCGUAGAAAAAUAUACUGUUGUAGUAUGUCCUCCAAAAAUAUACUAAAUGGUUAACAAAUAAGCACAAAGUUUUCUGGUAACCGUCAACCAUUAUGUUAUAACUAAUCAUGAACAUAAAUAACUUUGACAAUAUAUGAACCAUAAUCAGCUUUUAUUCACUCCAAAUCAUCUUUCGCGUUCGUAUCAGUUUGAAACCAUAUAAAAUCAUUUGCAUAUCACAAAUGCAAUGGUAAACAGAAAAAAAGCGUAGGAUCUACCAAAUAAUCUUGUCAAGUAAAGAACAGAAUACAAUUAACAAAGGAAUCGCUGGAUAACUACAUAAAAUAUAGGGCUUCCACAAUUAGAAAAAGUAACUACCAAAGUUAAUGGAUAUACGUAUUCACGCAAUAGAUGACAUUAUAAAACAAACUACCUCGUUGCAGAAGAAGUUGUAUCUAACAGUGUAGAAGCAAAGAUCUUACACAUGGGUACUUCAUUCCAAAAUAGAAAUGUUGCAUAGGAACGGUAAAAUGUUAAGCCAAUUGAUGCAUUCAGUGUCUCAUUUCAAAGAUGGGUGUAAAAAUCUAAGAUGUUUAAAAUAAACUGAAGAACAGAUCUUGGUCUACCUAAAAGGCACAUAUACAGAUACUGAUGUGAGGCAUGAAAGGAACAUAACUUGGACACAGUGGCAGAUUAUUUUUUAAAAAAAUUCAGGGCACAAACACAACAAAGACGCCUUUAUUAAUAUUAAUUUAUUUAUACAUAUAUCGUCUAUUUUAUGAAAUAGAUAGACUUUCAUUGAAAAAAAUAAAAGAAUACACCAACAUAUAAAAUAUACUCAACCCACAAAAAGGGGGUCAAACUACAAGAAGGGGCUCCAGUCAAGUAAAAUAAAAGUCUGAAGCUUCUAUUACUUCUCUCGCCCCAUAGACCCCACAAAAUAACACUCCAGCCUACCAUAAAAAUAUCCCUCUCAUGAAAAAAACGAAUAAAGAUAAGUCUCUUCGUUGGAUUGGAAUUGGAUAUUUUGUUUCAGCUCAGGUUCAAGCCUCGUCACAUUUGAUUUGGAUUGAUUUUAUUUAUCCUGCUCAGUCCUAUUUUUCUCUAUAUUUGUUUUCAUAUUUUUGGUGUUUUCGUUUGUUUUCCUUGUAUUUUAAGUGUUGGCCUCUUUUCAUUCUACCAAUGAAAAAGCUUUAUUUGCUUUUCCGAAAAAGAAAAAAAAAUAUAUAUAUAUAUUUAUAUAUAUAGAGAGAGAGAGAGAGGAGUGGGGGGGGGGGGGGGGGGGGGGGGCCAAAAUCGAGGUGGUCACCUCAAAUUUAUCACACAAAAAAAAAACUUCUCUAGCCAGAUUUGGCAGCUUUUUACAUGAAAAUGAUGCUUUGUGGAAGAAGCUAACUGUGGCAAUGUACUACUCCUAGUUGUCUAUGGUCGACCAAUACUCGUGGUUCUUCUAAAUCAUUGUGGUGAUUUAUUUGUCAAACUAUUGAACAGUUGGCCUCUUGUAUACAGUGUUGUCUUUGUUCAGGUUGAUCCAUUUGUUUUAAGGAUCUUUCGCAUAAUUGUGUUGUCCUCUCGACGGUGUUCCCCAAAUUGGCAUCUCGUUGUGUCAUGUCGUGCCGGGUGUCUCAUGUCCAUGUUUGUGCUUCUUAGUUGGGGAUUAUAGUCACAUAAUGGAGGAAUUCCUCUUCCAUCCACCGUUUUGAAAGAGGCAGAUUCUUGUGGCACAUGACAACAUUUGUGUUCUGCUAUGGGUCUUAUAAGGAGAGAGAAAUAAUAGGAACCUUAAAGAAGUGAAGCGGGACAAUGGGGAUGUUUAGGCUCUUGCUAGAAUCUGUCUCUCUUUGGGAAUGUUAAAGAAGUGAAGCUUGAUCCAUUUCUUUUUUGAAGGUCCUUCGCUUAAUUGUAUUGUCCACUCGACGGUGUUCCCCAAAUUGGCAUCUACUCGUGUCGUGUCAUGUUGGGUGUCUUGUGUCCGUGUUCGUGCUUCUUGGUUGGGGAUUAUAGUCACAUAAUGGGGCAGUACCUCUUUCAUCCACUGUUUUGAGACAGGAAGAUUCUUGUGGCACAUGACGACAUUUGUGUUCUGUUAUGGGUGUUAUAAGGAAAGAGAAAUAAUAGGAUCCUUAAAGGGUGGGGGACAAUGGGGAUGUUUAGGCUCUUGCUAGAAUCUGUGUCUCUCUUUGUACGUCAAUGUUAAAUCUUUUUUGUACUUAUCCUUCGGGUCUUAUUUUGCUUGAUUGAACUGGAUCUUUAGGAACUUCUUUGAGUGUGCUUGGUUUUUUUGAAUGUCCAUUUCCCCCCAAUGAAAGUAUGAUUCGAUAUUUGAAAAGGAGAGGGUAACAUAUAUUAUUAUUCAAACAAAAGUCUGUGUUUCCUUUCAUCCCAAAAUAGGGAAGAAAAAGAAAAUUCCUAAAGAGGACAUCAGGGAUUCCAUUAUAUUGGUUCCUUCUAAUUGGGAUAUUCUUUGUAAUGUGUUUUUGGUAAUUUUCCAAUUUCCUUGAUAAUUACAGUACUGCAGAAUGAAGAACCUCAUUUUAACAAUCAGUAAAUAAAAAUUUGCUUCUUAUUGGCACCCGCCUCAAUUUUAAAUGCCCUAUCAGAGAGAGAUGGAUAAAACUAUUUAGAUCAGAGACAUAUGAGUGGGUUUAUAGAAAUCUCACAUGACAGAUCGAUAGCUGCAACAUAUACUGGACGAGAUUGCAUUGCUUCUGCUCCGGAGCCUUCAUCUUUAAAAUGAGAGAAAAAAAUAGAUUAAUGUAAACCCCAGAAAGAACAGAGGAAAACACAACUAUCAAUCAAUAACCUUCAAAAAGAAGAAGAAAUUAUCAAUCAAUAAGACCAUUCGAGCGAGAGGGAAGAGGGUGGUGAAAACAAAGCCUAGAAUCACUGGCUGAAUGUCAGGUAACCGAAUGCAAGACAACAAAGAAACAAAAAGAAACCUAAAUCAUUAUACGACAUCAAUAAAUCUAAUCAAUUCUUUAGCAGUUCUUCAAUUUUUCACACCAUAACAAAACACCAAAUCCAACGAAUCCCACAAUUACAAACUAAAAAAACAAUUACAGGGGCGAGGCUGUUUCUGAAGAAAGCUAAGAAAAAAUGAAGAAGAAAACGUACUCACCAGGGAGCUCGAGAUCUAUGAACGAGGACAUCAUCUCGGGGCAGGAUUCAGGAUUGGAGAAUCGAGCAAUCGCCUUGGAAGAGAGGCCAUUGAGGGUACCGCAGAGAGCGCAGGUCCAUGCCCAAUGUUCAAGGUCACAAUAGGAGUUGAAGUAAGCCCAGCAAUGCUCGCAACGGGGAAGGAGGUGGGCAUCGGAUCCGUAGGCGGGAGGACGGCCAUUCUCAUCCUUGGAGGCGAAGGGGGUGACGGAAACUCCCCAAGGAAGGCCAGAGUUCUCCUGAGCAUCAGCGUCAACUGGGAAACGAGAGACUGUAGCUCUAACAGCCAUAGCCUCCGAGUUUUAAGCUCUCUCCGUUGAAACCGAGAGCCCAGUAGGCGAAAUGGUGCCGGUCGUCGGAGACUGUAUGUUGGAAAUUUUCUAAAAGAAAAAGAAAAACGACGUGGCGUUCCACGUAAGAUGAACCAAUUGUGAAGCGCCUUCUCAAACAAAAAAUAAAGAAAGGCGUAAUUGGGGAAAUUUUCUAUAUUUGAUAGAAAGCCUUUUAUUAGUUUGGCUUCCUCAAUUUUGUAUUAUGUGCAAAUUAUUAUUAAUAAUAUUUUUAAACUUGUUUCUGUUAGACAAAAUAAGUUUGAGGACAAAUUUAUUUAUCUUUCAAAAUAGUCAAAAAAAAAUGAACUCAUGUUACACAUGAUUUGCACUUAUAAUCUCGAAACAUAACUAAUAUACCAUGUCACAUGUCUUUCAUUUUUAUUUGAAACACUUUGAGUUCAAUAUUUAGCGGAUUAAUAAAUCCCUUAGCUGAUCAUCAACAAUGAAAAAUACCCAACAAUGUUAGAUCGAUUAUGAUGCUCCCACCCAAUGCCAAACAUGGAGUUGAUCGACCCAAGAAGAUUAGGGUUCCUUCUAAAAUAGAGUUUAAGAGACAUGUUAAAUGUGUCGUUGUUAACGAUUUGGUUAUAACCAAAAGAGAUGUAGGCUUUCUUUAUUGAAUUAGGUUGAUCUAUUGUCGAAUGAUACGUUUUUUCUAAAAUUACCUUUAGGUUUUUAAUAACUUUGUACGUCCUAUUGUAUUUAAGACUUUUAUUAUGUUAUAGACAAUUUCUCAUAUUCCAAUUAUUGGUUUAUGUUUUUUUUCUCUUCUUUUUAUAUCGCUUCAUUAUUUACUACUCUCAACAAAAGUUUAAAAUUUUAAUGUAUUUAUGUUUAUGUUUCAUUGUGUGUUCUAUAUGCACCUUGUUAUUAUUUCUUGCAUACAACAUUACAAAGUCAUUCGAAAUUGGCUUUGAAUGUAUCAAUUAGCACAUAUAAAUCAAAUUUUUUUCAUAUAUACUACAAAUUAGAUCACUUAAUUAAUCCACUUAUACAUCAGUGGUUCUUCAAUGUCUCUGAAUCUUCAUUAUGUCAUAUAUUAUCCUGCAUACAUAAACACUAUUCGUCUAAGUUUCUAAUUUCAUGCAACUUCAUAGUUUUCAUAUAUAGCAGACAAUAUAAAUAUGACCAAAAUCUAUAUAUAUCAGACAUGUUGUCAUAUCAUUCAUAUACCUCUACGAACAAGUUUACAAUUUUCUUGAAUUUAUGUUUGUUUUUUGUGUGUUCCAUAUGCACCUUAUUAUAUUUGUUCAUAAAUAUAUGUCCAAUGAUAUCCUUUAUACCACAUUAUAGAGUCAUUUGAAAUUGACCUCGAAUGUACCAAUCACCACAUAUACACCGUUUUAUUUCAUAUAUACCCCAUAUUAGCUAACUUACAAAUUUCACCUAUUAAAUCAGUAUCUCAUUAAUGUUCCUAAGUUUUCAAUUCUGUCAUAUACUCGUAGUUUGCACACAUAAACACUAUUCGUCCAAGUUUAUAAUUUCAUACAACUUCAAUUUUUUCAUAUAUAGCCGACAAUAUAUUUCAGUCAAUAAAUUAUUGACCAAAAUCUAUAUAUAUCACAUAUUUUGUCAUACAACUGAGUAAUGUUCAAAACCAAUAUAUAAAUAAUAAAAAAAUUGAGAAAGAUGUAGAGUUCACGAUUAAUAUAUAUAUAAAUAACAAGAAAAGAAGAAAGUGUAGAAUCCACGUGUAAUAUAUAUAUAUAAACAAAAAAGAUAAAAUGUGAGUUCAAAACUACCGUAUUUUUAUGUCCUAUCGAGAUUAGUUUUUAACUUUAGGUUAUUUUAGAAUAGGUCAUUAAUUUUCAAAAAGAGUUCAAAAUUACACACCAAACUUAAAAAGAUGGUUAAAAGAAUGUGAAUUUCCCAAAACACUUUACCCUAACCCUCCAAAUAAAAAUCCGACCUUUCCAAUUUUCCCAUCUUCUUCCUUCCUCCUUCACCAGUGCUGACCACGAGAAAAUGGUCGACGAUGGCGAGACUUCCACGACGGCGUCGUGCAGUCGCCGCCAGCGUUUAUCUUCUUUGUCUUGUUCUCGCAACGUUUCUAUCCUUUUCGACGAGUUUCAGCGGUAGUCCACUCUCGGAUUGGUCUCAAUUCACUUUACCCCCUAUCAUAGCAUGCGUUUCUGCAAGUUUGAACACUUUCGAACACCAACCAUCUUAUCAGAGUCCAUUUGGGUAAGCUUUGGUGAGCAUCAAUGCUCAUUUGCCAUUUCCAAUUAAAUUAGUAGUCUUUAGAAUCUCCGGGUGAAUUUUGAAGUAUUCGAUUAAUUGUAAGUAUUAGCAUGCGUUGAAUCAUUUUGGACCUGAUUAAAGUACGUUAGAUUAAUUUCUAACCUCAGGGAAUCUUACUGUUGUAGUUUUGGACUAAUUCGGAGUUAUCCAUUAUAGUUCAUGGUAGAUUUUAGGUAAGAAUAUCCCUCUUGAACGCUCUAUCGGUAUGAUUGUUUAUUGUUUAGGCUAUAAAUGAUGUUUGUUCAAGGAAGUGAACUUUCGGUUGUCAUUGAGGUAAAUAGUUGUCGGAUCUCUUUCAAAAUAUAAUGUUGACUAUAUAUAGUGAUUUGUUAGGAGUUUGAAAGCAUUUUUGAAUGUUUGAAUGUAUGUUUUAUGUGAUUUGAGUAUUGGGUGAAAUUUUUCUUGUGGAUAGGACUUCUUGGAUAUGUCAAAUUUUGUUCUGGGGAAUAUAUGUUAUGUUGUAGUUCUUUUUAAAGAUGAAAAUGUUAUGUUGUAGUUAGCCAAUAUGUGUAAUUGACAGUAAAUAAUAUGACUGAAACUUGUCAGCUUUUUUAAGGCCUCCAUUUUGCCACGUUUCAGGACAAAAUUUGCAAGAAGGAUUGCCAAUUCCAGUCUUUGGUGUUGCCUGUGAAAACUGAAUCUGAUAAAAGUCCUUGAAAUUCCCAGUAGAGAAAUGAAUAGCUUUUCACAUCAGAAUCGGAUGUAGUAUUGUUCGAUCAAGGGACUUUUGAGCUUGCCCACAAACUAUUUGAUAUUUUGUUCCACAGAGUUUAGGAGUUUAAAAUGAAUGGAAAAUCUAUGUUCCUACGCCUAAAUCGAUACCCCAACUCUUACCCAAUUUCUGAAACACAUGUUUUUGAUCAUAAGAAGUCGGCUUUUCUAUGGGUUUUGAUGAGGCACAAAUCUAGCGGUGGAAUGAGACCAAAGAGAAAAAUCUAUUAUAGAGUUGCUGAACUGGACAAAGUUAUGGACUUGCAAAAAAAGCCAUCCCUUAUACUAAAGCUUAUUAACAUUAUCCAAUCUCAAAAGAACAAAUUUAUAUUAUUGAGGGACCUCGAGAAAGAAGUAGGAUUUGUCCAAAAAUGGAACUUCAUGGCUGUUAUUGAGAAGUACUCUUCGAUCUUCUAUGUUGGUUCUGGAAGUAGUAGAGUGCCCCCUUAUGUUAGGCUCUCCAAUAAAGCUGAAAUGAUUGCUAGUGAAGAAGAUAAGGUAAAGAGUGCAAUGGAACCAAUCUUAGUAAAGAAUUUGAGGAAGCUGUUGAUGCUGUCUGUUGAUUGUCGAGUACCGCUCGAGAAUAUAGAAUUCAUUGCAUCUGAAUUGGGUUUGCCUUGUGACUUCAAAACUUCAUUGAUUCCUAAGUACCCUGAAUUCUUUUCAGUGAAGGAAGUUGAUGGGAAAGCUCAUCUACAUUUGGAAAAUUGGGAUUCUUCACUUGCAAUUUGUGCUCGAGAGGAUAGAUUUGCUAAAGCUAGAGAUUUAUCUUCUUGUGGAUAUGGAAAAAGAGUUAGAAUCUCAAAAGAUGGCAACUUUUCUGGUCCUUUUGCAUUCAAGAUGUGUUUUCCUUCAGGCUUUAGGCCAAACACGAGUUACCUUGAACAUCUUGAAAGGUGGCAGAAAAUGGAUUUUCCUUCCCCGUACUUGAACGCAAGGAGAUUUGAUGUAGCUGAUCCGAAGACAAGAAAGAGAGUGGUCGCAGUUCUUCACGAGUUUCUAAGUUUGACAAUGGAAAAAAGAAUGACUUCAACACAAUUGGAUGCGUUUCAUAGGGAGUUUCUUCUACCAUCUAAACUAUUGCUUUGCUUAGUAAAGCAUCAGGGAAUCUUCUACAUCACUAAUAAAGGUGCAAGGAGUACCGUAUUUCUGAAAGAAGGCUAUGAAGGGUCAAUUUUGGUUGAUAAAUGUCCUUUGCUGUUGCACUCUGAUAGAUUUCUUUCACUCUGUGGUAGGAGGGACAUGAGUUGCAAUUCACACCAAGUUAGUUUAUAAUCACAUAUUUAUUGGAAAAAAAUGCAUGAAAAGUUAAAGGAAAGCUUAAUCCUCGUUGGAUUUCCCAAGAUAUGAAAGUAUUGAAGGUCGUUGUUGUAGUUUGCUGUCUUCAUACACCAGUUAAAAGAAGGAUGUAAAGAGGAAAUAGCAAGGUAUUCUCGUAAGUAAGUUUACCGGGUAACUGUUGGGGUUGGUGUAUACAUUAUAAUAUUUUUGGCAAAGAUAGGAGUUGAGUUGGGAUUCCUGUACAUCUGAAGAUGUUUGACAUAAUUUAGAUUUCACAAAAUCUUCUUAAAAACUCCUUUGAUUAGCUAAAGUGAAUUUGUCUCAAACGAUAAUUAUCUUAAGUUAAGAUCUUCCUUUGGUGCUUAGCUCAUUGAAGUUUGAAUGAAUAGCCAUGAGCGACUUCAAAAACAAUGUGUGAAUCGGUGUAUUUUCCCCUUGGACUGCCCUUAUGUUGCUAUGAUGAAGGAUCCUUGACCACUUAUUCUUUCAUUAGCCAUCAGUCACUUGGUUUGACAAUGACUUGUUAUAAUUCAACUUCUCUAUGUGUUUUAGUCGUCUCCUAAGGUUCCACUCUCCACGAUAGGAGUGGUUGACAGGGCUCCUUGGAGGGUGGAACCUUAGGAGACGACUAAAAAUAAGAAAUUCAUUUUUAAUUACUAACUUGUUCAUUAUCCAAGGAAAUCAAAUAGCUCCUUAUUCUAAAGGAGUUCUUUCGUAUUUACAAGAAUGAUAUCUUUACUAACUCAAAUGUUAACACCUAUUUACUUGUCUUACGUUGAAAUUUGAAAACCCGUCAUUUGUACUUGUACUUAAUUUUUUUUUCCUUUGAUUAUGCCACACAAAUACCUACAAAAAAGUUGUUGAAACGAUGGUUAGGCUAAGUUAGGAAAAAUUGUAAAAAAACCACCUUUUUUUUUUAGUUUACUUCUCAAAAUUAGCAUCUUUUUAAGAACUUAUUAGAAUAGUUUCAUUUCAUAGUUCUCGAAUUUGAAAUCUUCGAAUGUCAUUGAUUGUUUUUUGCAUGUUCGGUGAAACUCGUAUUAACAUCGAAUUUUAACAAUUUUUUUCAAAUAUUAUUUGAUCUUUCCAUAAUUUAAAUCAAAUCUUAUCUAAUUUUUGGUAUCUAUCUCUAACAAAUCUUUAUGUCAAAAUUUUACAUAAUUAUUCAAAUCUUUAGCUUAAUUUAUGCAUUUCCUAAUUAUAUGAAUUUUCAAAAUUCUAAAAUUUCAAAUAAAUUUACUAAUUAUGAUUUGUUGGGUGGGUCUCAACUGCAGUGCGAUUUUAAAAUUGUAGUAACGAUAAAAUUUUGCGGAUUUGUAUUUAUAUAGGGUGUUGGUAUUAUUAGUACGCUUGAGAUUUAACUGAGGAAAUUCAAAUGUAUUGAAUAUCGGUUAUUUGGCUUGAGAUAACACUGAUUUUUUUUAUAUAUUUUCUAAAUUUUACCCACUUGAGAUCUUAUUGAAAAAGCCAAAAAUAAUUGAAGACAUAUAAAAAUGUCAGAAAAGUUUAUUUUUCUAAGUAAAUUUUGGUGGUCAAUCUACAAAAUGAAGGAAGAAAAACAAGUUUAACGAAUUUUCAAAAUGUGUUGUUUUUUAAAAUUGAAAACAAUGUAAUGAACGUUGACUAAAGCAAGUACAAGAAACUGGAAAUGUCGAUUUUCAUAGAGGAAAAUAUCUAGUUCUGGGUAUUUAGAGCUGAACAUUUUUUCAAAAUUAAUAACUUCCCGGAAGCAGAAAAAGUGAAAGUAGCAGUGGUUAGUUUCGGACAAGAUGAAGUAGAUUGGUAUCGUUGGAGUAAUCAUAGAAAGAAGGUGGAAGGCUGGAAGGAUUUGAAGGAAAGAAUGUUCAAAUUCUUUCGAGAUUCCGGGCAGAAGAGCUUAAACGCGAGACUGAUUCGAAUAGAACAAGAUGGAUCCUAUAAUGAUUAUGUCAAGAAAUUCGUCCAAUACUUUGCUCCACUGCCUCACAUGGUCAAAAUUGUGCUCUUAGAUGCAUUCGUGAUGGGUCUUGAACCGACUCUUCAGGCAGAAGUUAUUAGUAGGCACCCUCAAACCUUGGAGGAGUGUAUGAAUGAGGCUAUUGUAUAAGGGAAGAAUGGUAGUAUCUAAAACUUCUACAGUUAUACCAAAGUUCCUGCAUACUUUCCAUGAUUCUAUUCUCAUGGGCCACUCGAGAUUUUUAAGAACUUAUAAGAGGAUCAAUGGAGAACUAUAUUGGAAGGGUAUGAAGGCCGAUGUAAAGAAACAAAUAUGAAGCGACCAAGCCAGCUAGGGCACUUCAACCAAUUCCCAUUCUGGAUAGAAUCUUAGAAGAUUGGACCAUGGAUUUUAUUGAGGGGUUACCACUGGCUGGAGGAGUUAAUGUGAUCAUGGGUGGUAGUUGACUGACUGAGUAAGUAUUCUUACUUCAUACCACUGAGACAUCAUUUUUUGGCUAAGCAAGUUGCUUUCAUUUUCAUUGACAGAGUAGUAAGCAAGCAUGACAUUCCAAAGUCAAUUAUCACAGACGGAGAUAAAAUCUUUCUUAGUAAUUUCUGUAAAGAACUGUUUGCAGCUAUGGAGACUAUUCUAAAAAGGAGUACGACGUUCCACUAACAAACAGAUGGACAGAUGGAAAGGGUAAACAGAUGUCUUGAAACUUAUCUAAGGUGCUUCUAUAAUGAACAACCUAGAAAAUGGGAUAGAUUGAUUCCUUGGGCAGAAUUGUGGUACAUUACCACCUUCCAUGCGUCCAUCAAGGUGACCCCCUUCCAGAUGGUAUAUGGCAGACUCUCUCCUCCCUUGUUGUCCUAUGGUCAUAAGAAAACUCCUAACAAUGAAGUAGACACAAUGUUGAAGCAACGAGACUUAGUCAUCAAUGCUUUAAAGGAAAAGAUGUGUGUAGCCUAGAACAAGAUGAAAAAAAUGGCUGAUCGGAAUUGAAGAGAGUUAAAGUUUAAAGUAGGAGAUGAAGUUUACUUAAAAUUGAGACCUUACCGACAACAUUCCUUAGCUCGAAAGAAGUGUGAAAAGUUAGCUCCUAAGUAUUAUGAAUGUUGGCUUUUUGGCCUUUUGGCCAUUAAUCUCAAAUUAAUUUAUUUUAACUAUUCAAUUAAUUUAUGUUUUGAUGAUAACAAAUCUGAUUUUUUUUUUAUUGACAAUUUUAUUAAUUUGAAUAGACCAUAUCGUAGAGUUUGGAAAAAUGAUUCUAACGCCUCUUGAAUCACCCAAAUCGAAGUUCAAAUGAAGAAAAUAUUGCUAAAAGAAGGUUAACGGAAAAAUACCCGAGAUGGUGACGUGGCGACCAAGCAUUCAAUUUGAACCAAUUAGAGAAAGCCACUUGGAGCAAUAAAGGAGUAACAAAUGUGGCUUUUUGUUAUGUUUUAUUGGCUUUUAUAAAGAAAAUGAAUUUAAAAGGAAAAUGAUUUUAAUAUUAUUAUUUUUUCUUGUGUCUAACGACUAGUUUUUUUAAAGAUGGUGAAGUUGCUUUAUUGAUUUCUUUUUAAACAAAGUAUUUUGAAAAGACAUAUUAUUAUAUUAUUAUUUGUAUCGUGUCUAACGGCUAAUUAAGUUUAAAUCUCAACCAUUCAUUUUUCUUUUACUUAUAUCUAAUGACCUAAAUGAUUUUGAAUUUAUCUUUCCUCUCUUUUUAAAUACUUCACAUUUACACAAGAUCACAACAUCUUUACAAUCCUCAAGCAAAAAACCAACAUUGUUAUUCUCUCUAAAGCUUCCAAUUUUUAUUCUGUUCAUCUUAUUCUUGAGAGUUUCUUAUUGUAUUGUGAGGAUUAAAUUUGUGAGCUUCAAAUUGUAUACUCACUCUUUUAGAGAGUUUUUUUUUUUGUGAUUUAAAAACUUCAACAUAUUGUAACGGUUGGAUCCUAACCCGUGGAAAGGAUCGGGUUUGCUCUUGAACCCGAAAAAGGAGCAAGAAUCGGUUCGACUCAAAUUCGUGGAAAGAGUCUAAAGAAGAUUUUCAAUUAAAAUCCCAAGAGGUGCUUGGGAAAGUGGAUGUAGGUUGAGUUUAACCGAACCACUAUAAAAUUACGGUGUCUUCUUCUCUAACUCUUCUCUAAUUAUUUUUUAAUUUAAUUUUAGUUACAUAUUCUUAUUGGUUGAGUUUGAUUGCAUACUUCCAUUCAUAUCUUUUUAUCAAUCUUGUUAUUUAACAAAGUUUACAAAGUUCUUUAUUUAAAUAUUAAAAAUAUCUAAUUAGUUGAUUUUACCUUUUAUUUGUCAAAAAGUUUAUUUAAACCCUAUUCACCCCCCUCUAGGGUUGCCAUACCGAUCCAACAAUGAAACCUACAAAAUUAUUUAAGAAAUAGGGGCAGUUGCCUAUAGGCUGAUGUUACCUCCUGAAGCCAUUAUCCACGAUGUGUUUCAUAUUUCUUAGUUAAAAAUUAAGUUGGGUAAACAACGAGCUGUCCAACAUCAUGAACCUAUCCUAACGGAAGAGUUUGAGGUGCAAUUAUGGCCCAAAACUGUUUUGGGAGUUUGUUGGAAUCAGAAAUUGGGAGGAAAUUAAUGGUUAAUCAAAUGGAAGGGGCUGUCGGACAGUGAAGCAACAUGGGAAUUAGUUUUCCAAAUGAACCAACAAUUCCCUAACUUUCACCUUGAGGACAAGGUGAACCUGGAGCUGAGGGGUAUUGUAAGGCCCCCUAUCGUCCAUACAUACAAAAGGAGGGACAAAAACGUAAAAGCUCACGUAGCAAAAGAUCAAGGAAUGUUAGGAAAAGAACGUGAGAGUGGCGCCCACAUGGAGGAGUGAGAGAUGAGCUAUAAAUAGGGUCUUAUCGGGAUUGGGAGCUAGGUUAAUAUUUGUCAUCAUUUUGAUAGGAGAGGUUGCUACGGCCUAGGGAGAGGACUAGCUUAACCUAGAGAGGUUUGGUAUGUUUGUUAUCGUCAUUGUUCGUUAUUUAUAUAUCUCUUCUACUGUAUCUUUUGGCAUUUAUACAUAAAUAAAGAUUAUCAGUGUACUGUCUUUGUUUUGCCAAUUGGUUGGGCAUUUAGUAUUUUAUUUGUAGAGUCUCUGCAAACACAUGUUGCUAGUAUUUCUUAAACCAUAAUAACCAACAUGUUGACAACAACACACCCUCCUCCUUCUUUCAUUAGUAGGUCAAGACAUAUCUAUAAACACAUACAGUUAACCAAUUUAAACAAGAAAGAAUAUGCAUAUAUGUACAAAACACAAAUAUAUAUAAGAGAAAAAAUGCAGUAAACAAACAACACAACGCAUAGAUUAACAACUAACCCAUAAAUAGAAACAAACCAUAACAAACAUGUCAGUAAAAAUUGAAUUACGUACUAGUUUGUGCAAAAGGUACUCUGAUUUCAAACAAGUUGUCUCAUCCUGUAAACCCUAGUUAGUGUUCCAAAGUGUGCAUUGAAAAUUAAUUAUGUAGUGUAUGUUAAUUAAUUAUCGUUUUCGUUUGGAGUCGCAUUUAGCAUUUAAGCUUAUUGAUACUGAGCAGGAUCCCAAUUUUGUAGUGCACACUAGAACGAACACACCAGUGAAACGACUUCAUCGUUUUUGUUACCGUUACCAUUUGGGUUACCAAUUUUGAUAUUGUUCAUUUAAAAUAUGUAAACUUCUUACUGAUUGUAAGACCCUUUUUUUCUUUAUUUUAGUAUAGGAAGUAACAUUCAACUAAGUAUUAAGGGAGUUGGUGUUCGAAUAAAUCAACGGAAAAGAUUAAGUGAUAAAAUCUUUUAUAAUUAAGAAGUUAAUUCGCGAGGAAAUUUUGAGAAAAUAAGGGUUUGCAGUAUAAUUUAUAAGUCUAAAAGCUCUAAAAAAAAUAUAAGUUAUGAAGUUUUGACUAAAACGACUAGACAUUUAGGUAGUCUUCGCGAUAAGAACCAAGAGUUUUGCGAUGAAGUAAUCCGCGAGGAAGCCUUGAAGUUUAAGUUCGCGAUAAGUGUUCUAAGCGAGUAAAAGUUGGUUAAUUCGCGAGGAAAGUUUCUUGUAGUAAAAACAUAACCACAUGAUAAGGUUAUCUGCGAAGAGUGUUAAGUGGUUAAAAUUAUUUGCGAUGUGGUGUUAGACAAAAAGUAAAGUCUAGCAAAGAAAAUAUCAAAUCUAAUUUGAUAGGAGGUUAACGUAUAAGAUUAAGAAGUCAAAGCAUGCUUGUGUUGAGUAUUAAAUAAGUAGAAGCUGGCAAACUGAGAAGAAAUCUGAUGUUUUGCUUGGCUGAGAAGAAGCAAAACAAAAUGUUAACUAAGGUAAUUUGUUCCACGAGAAAGCUUCAUGAGAAGAGAAGAAAGAUGAAUAUUUUUGUUAAAGUGUGGUGAAUGAUUUUCUUCUUAAAAGUUCUUUUAUUCUACUUUACUAUUUUGAAAGAUGAUUUCAAAUGAAAAGUGUUUCAAAAAUAGAUUUCUAUAAAAAGUUUGUGUUCAAGCAUAAUUUAUAAUGUUAAAGCUUGAUUACGAUUUUAGUGCUAUAAAAUGGUUUUCAAAAUACUAGUUGAUUUCUUAAAAUGAUGCUGCUAACUUUUAUAAAAAACUUGGCAGCCUAGUAAUGAAUAAUAUGUAUAUUUCUCAAAUAUUGUUAAUAUAGUAGGCAAACGCGAGGUAAUGAGACCAAAUAUAGAGAACGAAAAAUGAUGAAAGAGAAGAAAGACAAAUAUAGAAAGAAAAAAAAUCACAAAACAGAGAAAAAAACAUGAAAAUGAAGACAAACCUGAAAUAAUUUUUAAAAAUACAGCUCCAUGGGCCUUUUGAUUUUGUUACACACAAUAAGUAUUUUUUAUAAAAAUUAGCCUUGCAUAAUACAUAAGAGUCUUUUCAAAAAUAGAAAAAAUUGACAAACUAUUUAUACUUCAUAAAACAAAACCACUAUAAUACAAAAUUUAUUACACUUCAUUUUUCAUUUUUCAUUUUUCUAUUAAUCAUUUUUUCAUUUUUCUAUUAAUCAUUUUUCUAUUAAUGUAAAUUGAUCAAAUCUUCUACUUUUAACAAUUUCCUUUCUAUAAAUUUAUCAAAUCUUUUAUUUUUUUUUAACAAUUUCCUUACUACUAAGUUGAAUUUAUAACAUGACAUUAUAUUUCUAAAUGUUUUAUACGUAUUUAAUAUAAUUUUACUUUUUAAAAUGUAACAUUCAAUGGAUAAAUACAAUGAAAACAUAAAAAUAUUGUUCUAAAAAAUUACACCGUUUGGAUCAUAGAAUCAAAAACUAGUUUUAAAAAAUUGUUUGCUAAACACACAUAAAAACAUCAAAUCUAAAAAACUAAAACAAAAUCCACACUCUCUAUUUUUUAAAGUAAGUGGUUUUUCUUGUAAAGGAGACUCUGACCAAAAGUUCAAAAACAAAAAUAAGUUUUUAAAAUCAAUUAAGUUUUCGAAUCUAACUUUUUAAGAAAGUAAGUCAAGAAGUAAGAAUUUCCCGACAUUAAUGUAAAUGGUAUUGGUAGUGUCUACACACGUUUAGUAGCCAUUAUUUUUCUGUAAUCACUACACCCGAAAUCAUUUCUUCAAGGAGCAAAUAGUUAAGUAGGAAUAUCACAACAGAUAAUUUAAACUAUCGCCGAUGAUUAUGUCAAGAAUUAUUUCUCUGCUGAAUCAAAUUGAAUGGGCUUGUUGCUGUGAUCCACUGAAAUUAUAACCAUUAUGCGUUAACCAUUUAAGCUAAAAAAGAAAAAGGCUAUGCUUAUGUUCGUAAAAACUCAAAAGUUUGAAAAUUAUGGAAAUACAUAUUAGCUUUCUACAAUGUAAUGGAAACGGAGUAUUCUUCUUUCUUUUUUUAGAAACGAUAGAAAAAGAGUAUUUACUGAAUAUCCUUGAAGAGAAUGUGAAAUUGAAAUCCAAUAAAACCAAGUCUUUGUCACAGUGUAUGUCUCAUCCUGUCACUGUCUCAGGGUUAAUUUUCCAUGAAAGUAAAC
rnacentral:lncRNA from 1 species